rnacentral:rRNA from 1 species
GACGAACGCUGGCGGCGUGCUUAACACAUGCAAGUCGAACGAAGACCUUCGGGUCUUAGUGGCGCACGGGUGCGUAACGCGUGGGAAUCUGCCCUUGGGUUCGGAAUAACAGUUAGAAAUGACUGCUAAUACCGGAUGAUGUCUUCGGACCAAAGAUUUAUCGCCCAAGGAUGAGCCCGCGUAGGAUUAGGUAGUUGGUGGGGUAAAUGGCCCACCAAGCCGACGAUCCUUAGCUGGUCUGAGAGGAUGAUCAGCCACACUGGGACUGAGACACGGCCCCAGACUCCUACGGGAGGCAGCAGUGGGGAAUCUUAGACAAUGGGGGAAACCCUGAUCUAGCCAUGCCGCGUGAUCGAUGAAGGCCUUAGGGUUGUAAAGAUCUUUCAGAUGGGAAGAUAAUGACGGUACCAUCAGAAGAAGCCCCGGCUAACUCCGUG